rnacentral:rRNA from 1 species
GACCUCAAAUCGGGUGAGACUACCCGCUGAACUUAAGCAUAUCAAUAAGCGGAGGAAAAGAAACUAACUAGGAUUCCCCUAGUAACUGCGAGUGAAGCGGGAAAAGCUCAAAUUUAAAAUCUGGCGGUCUUUGGCCGUCCGAGUUGUAAUUUAGAGAAGCGUCUUCCGCGCUGGACCGUGUACAAAUUCU